rnacentral:rRNA from 1 species
AUUGAACGCUGGCGGCAUGCCUUACACAUGCAAGUCGAACGGUAACAGGUCUUCGGAUGCUGACGAGUGGCGAACGGGUGAGUAAUACAUCGGAACGUGCCUAGUAGUGGGGGAUAACUACUCGAAAGAGUGGCUAAUACCGCAUGAGAUCUACGGAUGAAAGCAGGGGAUCGCAAGACCUUGUGCUACUAGAGCGGCCGAUGGCAGAUUAGGUAGUUGGUGGGGUAAAAGCUUACCAAGCCGACGAUCUGUAGCUUGUCUGAGAGGACGACCAGCCACACUGGGAGAGAGACACGGGCCAGACUCCUACGGGAGGGAGAUGUGGGGAAAUUUGGACAAUGGGCGCGAGCCUGAUCCAGCGAUGCGGCGUGCAGGAUGAAGGCCUUCGGGUUGUAAACUGCUUUUGUACGGAACGAAAAGCCCUGGGUUAAUACCCUGGGGUCAUGACGGUACCGUAAGAAUAAGCACCGGCUAACUACGUGCCAGCCGCCGCCGUAAGAC